rfam:Culex pipiens quinquefasciatus supercont3.271 genomic scaffold, whole genome shotgun sequence.
CUUUCGGCUCGCUGUAAGUAUUACAGCAAGCUUGCCCAUCGGAAAGCUGCUUGGUGUUAUAUCUUACAGUGAGCUGAGGG